GACGAACGCUGGCGGCGUGCUUAACACAUGCAAGUCGAACGAUGAAGCUGGAGCUUGCUCCGGUGGAUUAGUGGCGAACGGGUGAGUAACACGUGAGCAACCUGCCCUUGACUCUGGGAUAACUGCGGGAAACUGUAGCUAAUACCGGAUACGACCCUCGGCGGCAUCGCCAGGGGGUGGAAAGAAUUUCGGUCAAGGAUGGACUCGCGGCCUAUCAGCUAGUUGGUGAGGUAACGGCUCACCAAGGCGACGACGGGUAGCCGGCCUGAGAGGGUGGCCGGCCACACUGGGACUGAGACACGGCCCAGACUCCUACGGGAGGCAGCAGUGGGGAAUAUUGCACAAUGGGCGAAAGCCUGACGCAGCAACGCCGCGUGAGGGAUGACGGCCUUCGGGUUGUAAACCUCUUUCAGCAGGGAAGAAGCGAAAGUGACGGUACCUGCAGAAGAAGCACCGGCUAACUACGUGCCAGCCGCCGCCGUAA
rnacentral:rRNA from 1 species